rnacentral:lncRNA from 1 species
AACGGCCCCACCCGUAUCUCCCUUCGCUGACUCUCUUUUCGGACUCAGCCGGCCUGCACCCAGGUGAAAUAAACAGCCAUGCUUCUCACACAAAGCCUGUUUGGUGGUCUCUUCACACAGACGCGCAUGAAAUUUGGUGCCGUGACUCGGAUCGGGGGACCUCCCUUGGGAGGUCAAUCCCCUGUCCUCCUGCUCUUUGCUCCGUGAGAAAGAUCCACCUACCACCUCAGGUCCUCAGUCCAACCAGCCCAGGAAACAUCCCACCAAUUUCAAAUCCGAUCUUCUCGGCUUAGCGGCUGAAGACUGACGCUGCCCGAUCGCCUCGGAAGCCCCGUAGACCAUCACGGACGCCGAGCUUCGGGUAACUCUCACAGUGGAAGGUAAGUCCGUCCCCUUCUUAAUCAAUACGGAGGCUACCCACUCCACAUUAUCUUCUUUUCAAGGGCCUGUUUCCCUUGCCUCCAUAACUGUUGUGGGUAUUGACGGCCAGGCUUCAAAACCCCUGAAAACUCCCCCACUCUGGUGCCAACUUAGACAACACUCUUUUAUGCACUCUUUUUUAGUUAUCCCCACCUGCCCAGUUCCCUUAUUAGGCCGAGAUACUUUAACCAAAUUAUCUGCUUCCCUGACUAUUCCUGGACUACAGCCGCAUCUCAUUGCCGCCCUUCUCCCCAGCCCAAAGCUUCCUUCACGUCUUCCUCUCGUAUCCCCCCACCUUAAGCCACAAGUAUGGGACAUCUCUACUCCUUCCCUGGCAACUGAUCACAUGCCCAUUACCAUCCCAUUAAAACCUAAUCACCCUUACCCCGCUCAACGCCAAUAUCCCAUCCCACAGCAUGCUUUAAAAGGAUUAAAGCCUGUUAUCACUCGCCUGCUAUAGCAUGGGCUUCUAAAACCUAUAAACUCUCCUUACAAUUCCCCCAUUUUACCUGUCCGAAAACCGGAUAAGUCUUACAGAUUAGUUCAGGAUCUGCGUCUUAUCAACCAAAUUGUUUUGCCAUCCACCCUGUGGUGCCCAACCCGUACCCUCUUUUGUCCUCAAUCCGUUCCUCCACAACUCACUAUUCUGUUCUCCAUCUUAAAGAUGCUUUUUUCACUGUUCCCCUGCACCCCUCGUCCCAGCCUCUCUUUGCUUUCACUUAGACUGACCCUGACACCCAUUAGGCUCAGCAAAUUACCAAGGCUGUACUGCUGCAAAGCUUCACAGACAGCCCCCAUUACUUCAAUCAAGCACAAAUUUCUUCCUCAUCUGUUACCUAUCUCGGCAUAAUUCUCAAAAACACACGUGCUUUCCCUGCCAAUCGUGUCCGACUGACCUCUCAAACCCCAGCACCUACAAAACAACAACUCCUUUCCUUCCUAGGCAUGGUUAGCGUGGUCGGAAUUCUUACACAAGAGCCAGGACCACACCCUGUAGCCUUUCUGUCCAAACAACUUGACCUUACUGUUUUAACCUAGCCCUCAUGUCUGCGUGCAGCGGCUGCUGCUGCUUUAAUACUUUUAGAGGCCCUCAAAAUCACAAACUUUAUCAGUCCUCCAGGCCCAAGUUGACUCUUUAGCUGCAGUUGUCCUCCAAAACCACCGAGGCCUUGACUGACUUACUGCUGAAAAAGGAGGACUCUGCAUAUUCUUAAAUGAGGAGUGUUGUUUUUACCUAAAUCAAUCUGGCCUGGUGUAUGACAACAUAAAAAAACUCAAGGAUAGAGCCCAAAAACUUGCCAACCAAGAAAGUAAUUACGCUGAACCCCCUUGGGCACUCUCUAAUUGGAUGUCCUGGGCCCUCCCAAUUCUUAGUCCUUUAAUACCCAUUUUUCUCCUCCUUUUCUUCAGACCUUCUAUCUUCCGUUUAGCUUCUCAGUUCAUUGAAAACCGUAUCCAGGCCAUCACCAAUCAUUCUAUACGACAAAUGUUUCUUCUAACAUCCCCACAAUAUCACCCCUUACCACAAGACCUCCCUUCAGCUUAAUCUCUCCCACUCUAGGUUCCCACGCCGCCCCUAAUCCCGCUCGAAGCAGCCCUGAGAAACAUCGCCCGUUCUCUCUCCAUACCACCCCCCAAAAAUUUUCGCCGCUGCAACACUUCAACACUAUUUUGUUUUAUUUGUCUUAUUAAUAUAAGAAGGCAGGAAUGUCAGGCCUCUGAGCCCAGGCCAGGUCAUCGCAUCCCCUGUGACUUGCACGUAUACAUCCAGAUGGCCUGAAGUAACUGCAGAUCCACAAAAGAAGUAAAAACAGCCUUAACUGGUGAUAUUCCACCAUUGUGAUUUGUUCCUGCCCCACCCUAACUGAUCAAUGUACUUUGUAGUCUCCCCCACCCUUAAGAAGGUUCUUUGUAAUUCUCCCCACUCUUGAGAAUGUACUUUGUGAGAUCCACCCCUGCCCACCAGAGAACAACCCCCUUUGACUGUAAUUUUCCAUUACCUUCCCAAAUCCUAUAAAACGGCCCCACCCCUAUCUCCCUUCGCUGACUCUCUUUUCGGACUCAGCCGGCCUGCACCCAGGUGAAAUAAACAGCCAUGCUGCUCACACAAAGCCUGUUUGGUGGUCUCUUCACAUGGACACGCAUGAAACCUACUGUGUACUUUGCUUUCUUUGCUCUUGGUGAUUCCCCAAAAAACUUAUCUCAACAUAUAAGGAUUUUUCUUUUCUUUUUUUUUUUUUGUUUGAGACGGAGUCUCGCUCUGUCGCCCAGGCUGGAGUACAGCGGCGCGAUCUCGGCUCACUGCAAGCUCCGCCUCCCGGGUUCACGCCAUUCUCCUGCCUCAGCCUCCGGAGUAGCUGGGACUACAGGCGCCCGCUGCCACGCCCGGCUAAUUUUUUUGUAUUUUUAGUAGAGAUGGGUUUCACCGUGUUAGCCAUAAUGGUCUCAAUCUCCUGACCUCAUGAUCCGCCUGCCUUGGCCUCCCAAAGUGCUGGGAUUACAGGCGUGAGCCACCGCGCCCGGCUGUUUUUUUUUUUUUUUACUUGCCUUUUUCCAAAUGAGAAAACCAAGGCUCAGAGAGGUCAGUGGUGCAAUCUCGGCUCACAGCAACUUCCGCCUCCCGGGUUCAAGGGAUUCUAGUGCCUCAGCCUCCCAAGUACCUGGGAUCACAGGCAUCCGCCAUCACACCCAGCUAAUUUUUGUAUUUUUAGUAGAGACAGGGUUUCGCCAUGUUGUCCAGGCUGGUCUCGAGCUCAUGACCUCAGGUGAUCCGCCCACCUUGGCAUCCCAAACUGCUGGGGUAGGAUUUUCUUUUUUACUUCCCUUUUUCCAAAUGAGAAAACCAAGGCUCAGAGAGGAAGAGCGUGUUGCCCCAAGUGGCCCAGCAGAGCCACAGCCUUGCCCCCAGCAGCUCUGGCUCUAAUGCAUUCCAGACUCCUCCCAUCAGCCAACUGCCUCCCAUCCUCUAAUAAACUUCUGAGAAGCGCUGGGCAGAUGCAGUGGCGCCCACGCUCUUUAUCUGCCCAGAUCAGGCCGGCUCAGCAGAGCAGUCGAUAAUUAAUUCUGAAUUCUCCCCAUUUAUCACGGCGGCAGGAGCCAGAGUGCCUGGAAUCCCAAUCCCAAACCUCCGUGCCCCUUGGUCACCUGGACCAAGGCCCAGUGGUGGCAGGAACUAUGGUGGAGAGGGGGCCUCAUUGAGCCUGGGAAGGGAGCAAAGGUGUUCCUGGCUCCCCACCGCUCCCUGGCGC